GCGGCGCGUUUUAAGCAUGCAAGUCGAGCGGUAAGCUAACUUCGGUUAGCCUAGAGCGGCGGACGGGUGAGUAACGCGUGGGCAACCUGCCCUGUAUAAAGGGAUAGCCACUGGAAACGGUGAUUAAUACCUUAUAAGACUACAGAAACACAUGUUUCAGUAGCCAAAGCUCCGGCGAUACAGGAUGGGCCCGCGUUUGAUUAGCUAGUUGGUAAGGUAAUGGCUUACCAAGGCGACGAUCAAUAGCCGCCCUGAGAGGGUGAAC
rnacentral:rRNA from 1 species